rnacentral:rRNA from 1 species
AUACGUAGGUGACAAGCGUUAUCCGGAUUUACUGGGCGUAAAGGGCGUGUAGGCGGUCUUGCAAGUCAGAAGUGAAAUUCCCGGGCUUAACUUGGGCGCUGCUUCUGAAACUGCUUUACUUGAGUGCUGGAGAGGAUAGUGGAAUUCCUAGUGUAGCGGUAAAAUGCGCAGAUAUUAGGAGGAACACCGGUGGCGAAGGCGGCUAUCUGGACAGUAACGGACGCUGAGGCGCGAAAGCACGGGGAGCAAACAGGAUUAGAUACCCUGGUAGUCCGUGCCGUAAACGAUGAAUACUAGGUGUAGGGGGUAUCGACUCCCUCUGUGCCGCAGUUAACACAUUAAGUAUUCCACCUGGGGAGUACGGCCGCAAGGUUGAAACUCAAAUGAAUUGACGGGG